AAUCCACAAAAAAGUGGACCAAUCUAGUCCACUCCCUGCGGCCGUGCGAAACCAGGACUUGAAUGGGGUCAUGGUCCUUUAUCUUCAAGAUGAGACCCCUACCUGUUUAUAGGUCAUCAUCCUUAGUGUGGGUUAUUGGUGCCAUUGCAUUAACAAAAUUAUUCACUUUGAAUUUAACUUGUUCUGAAAUAUUGGGAAGAUUUAUGAUAUUUUAGGUUUCUUGUGCAAAUAAUUCGGGGAAUGAAUAAUUUGGUCCGCCAAAAAAGGACUCUUUAAAGAACUAUUGUUUGCAAAAAAUGCAAGAAAACUGGGUUUUUUUUUGUUUAAAAAUGGGUUCUAUGAGAACCUAUCUAACAGAAAAGAGCGGACUUUUUGUGCUGAAGUUUCAUCUUUAAUACCUUAUCUAAUUCAUUGCUGACUUUUUUCCAUAGUGCACCUUUUUCACAUUUCCAAAUCUGAAUUCAGUACUAUGAUUACUGUCCUACCUGAGUACAGGUCUGAUAGCUCCCGAUCCAAGAUUUUGGGAUGCUUCUUCUUCUUCUUCUUCUUCUUCUUUUUUAUUUUUUUAUUUUUUUUAUUUUUUAACGUUGGUAUUUGUGGUAUGACAAACUGCUAAAGGGCUAGUUAUAAGAUCAGAAUAAAUGAUGAGGGUGUCUGCGGACUCCAUUAACAAUGUUGCAGACGCAUGGUUCUCUGCCCUCCAUUCAAUGAGCCUCCUCUGCACAUAUACUGCUAACAAAAAUAAACUCUGUUGGACGUCUGAUAAUGCUUAGGAGAGCCUAGUACUAAUACCUAAAAAAUUUCUUCAGAGAGUAGCUUGCAGUUUAUUUUUCUCCCCUCAUAUGCUGCAAGUACCCAUGAUUAUUUUUCAGUGCAGCUUGUAAUUUUGUCUCAUCUAAAAUCAACAUUUCACUUUUCUGUGAUAGAAGGUACAAUAUUCUCAGUUGGCACAAGAUAUUGACUUGUUUAUCUGUGUGCUCAGGUGCGUGUUCAGUCAGAUCCAGUUGGGCGCUUGGUUAUAACCGGUGAACCAGAGCAGCCUGAUAAUCCUUGGGGUGUCACCCCCUUUAAAAAGGUUAUCAGCUUAUCGUCGAGAAUUGAUCCUCAUCACACGUCUGCUAUAGUAACCCUUCAUGGUCAAUUAUUUGUACGUGUGCCUUUCGAGCAGUGAGAUCUGUAGGAUGGGGAACUUGGUACUCUUUGCCCAUUUCAAGAGAUGACAACAAUUAUAGUUUAGGUAAAGCAAGAUUUAGGGAAAAUCAGUCGAGCUCGUUUUGUGCAUAUUGAUAGUUACUUCAUGAAAUCAUGCCAGAUACUUGGACCAUAUCAGUUUUAACUUUGUCGAUAGGAUUGGUAUUUUUAUUUUGCAAUUAUGUGCAGCACUAUAUUCAUAUUGUAUGGCAAUCAGAAGUUUAUUUUUCUUGGAUC